AGCGGCAGGCUUCAUACAUGCAAGUCGAGGGGCAGCAUAAAUUACUUGUAAUUUGAUGGCGACCGGCGAACGGGUGCGUAACGCGUAUGCAACUUACCUUUUACUAGAGAAUAGCCAAGAGAAAUUUUGAUUAAUGCUCUAUGUUCUUAUUUACUCGCAUGAGUAAUUAAGCAAAGCUCCGGCGGUAAAAGAUGGGCAUGCGUCCUAUUAGCUUGUAGGUGAGGUAAUGGCUCACCUAAGCUCCGAUAGGUAGGGGUCCUGAGAGGGAGAUCCCCCACACUGGUACUGAGACACGGACCAGACUUCUACGGAAGGCAGCAGUAAGGAAUAUUGGACAAUGGAGGCAACUCUGAUCCAGCCAUGCCGCGUGAAGGAAGACGGCCUUAUGGGUUGUAAACUUCUUUUAUACAGGAAGAAACCUUUCCACGUGUGGAAAGCUGACGGUACUGUAAGAAUAAGGAUCGGCUAACUCCGUGCCAGCAGCCGCGGUAAUACGGAGGAUCCAAGCGUUAUCCGGAAUUAUUGGGUUUAAAGGGUCCGCAGGCUGUUUGUUAAGUCAGAGGUGAAAUCCUACCGCUCAACGGUAGAACUGCCUUUGAUACUGGCAAACUUGAGUUAUUGUGAAGUAGUUAGAAUGUGUAGUGUAGCGGUGAAAUGCAUAGAUAUUACACAGAAUACCGAUUGCGAAAGCAGAUUACUAACAAUAUACUGACGCUGAGGGACGAAAGCGUGGGUAGCGAACAGGAUUAGAUACCCUGGUAGUCCACGCCGUAAACGAUGGUCACUAGCUGUUCGAUGUACAUUGGUACGUUGAGUGGCUAAGCGAAAGUGAUAAGUGACCCACCUGGGGAGUACGCUC
rnacentral:rRNA from 1 species